rnacentral:rRNA from 1 species
CGAGAGGACCGGAGUGGACGCAUCACUGGUGUUCGGGUUGUCAUGCCAAUGGCACUGCCCGGUAGCUAAAUGCGGAAGAGAUAAGUGCUGAAAGCAUCUAAGCACGAAACUUGCCCCGAGAUGAGUUCUCCCUGACUCCUUGAGAGUCCUGAAGGAACGUUGAAGACGACGACGUUGAUAGGCCGGGUGUGUAAGCGCAGCGAUGCGUUGAGCUAACCGGUACUAAUGAACCGUGAGGCUUAACCUUACAACGCCGAAGGUGUUU